rnacentral:rRNA from 1 species
UACGAAGGGGGCUAGCGUUGCUCGGAAUCACUGGGCGUAAAGGGUGCGUAGGCGGGUCUUUAAGUCAGGGGUGAAAUCCUGGAGCUCAACUCCAGAACUGCCUUUGAUACUGAAGAUCUUGAGUAUGGGAGAGGUGAGUGGAACUGCGAGUGUAGAGGUGAAAUUCGUAGAUAUUCGCAAGAACACCAGUGGCGAAGGCGGCUCACUGGCCCAUUACUGACGUUGAGGCACGAAAGCGUGGGGAGCAAACAGG